rnacentral:lncRNA from 1 species
GAUAAAGAAAUGUACGAUUAGGAUGAUGUGGGCUCCCUAGCGUUGAGUGAGUUGUUGGUUGAAUAUUAUAAUCUAACGGGUGGAAAUAGUCAAAGAGUUAAAUCUAACGGCGGAAAACUUGGUAGCACCAAAUGUUUGGUGCUAUCGAUAGUAUCCCAACUGGACUAUAUAUAUAUAGAGAGAGAGAGAGAGUCCGUGUGACGCCCCGACUUCCCAGGGGGUCACCCAUCUUAGGACUACUCCCGUCCUAGCACGCUUAACUCUCUUAACCUCUUGGGUCUAGCCACCACCCAAAAUGCUUAAGCCGGGUUAAGAGUUUAGCCCUAUUAUAUCUCAUAUAUAGGACUAUCUGGGGUCUCACAGUCCGGCUACUAUACUAUUGAUAGUACCAAGCCUUUGGUACUAUUGAGUUUUCUACCGUUAGAUCUACCCUUUGAUCAUUUCUACCCGUUAGAUUAUACUAUUAAACCAACCACCCACUCAAUCGUAGGGGACCACUAUCAUUCUAACUGCACAUCCUUUCAUCCAACGGCCAAAAACUCAAUAGUACCAAGGGCUUCGUACUAUUGAUAGUAUAGUAGCAUAAUUCUAUAGAGUCCGGCUACUAUGCUAUUAAUAGCACGAAGCACUUGGUGCUACCAAGUUUUCUGCUGUUAGAUCUACCAUUUUGAUCAUUUUCACCCGUUAGAUCAUACUAUUCAACCAACCACCCAGUCAAUCCUAGGGGGCCCACAUCAUCCUAACUGCACAUCUCUUAAUCCAAU